AUCCGCACCUCUCAGCCUCUCUGUAAUCGGCCUUCAAUCCUAAAAAAACCUCCACUUUGCAUCUCUUUUGUAGCCCAAGAUUCAAGAGUUUCAAGCGAUUUUGAGUUCGACGACGACUGAGUUUCAGGCGGUUUGGGACUUCGCCGCCUACGAUCCGGUUGGAGGCGGCGUUGUUGCUACGUUCUCUAUGUAUUUCCAUCACCGAUCAUGGAGUAUCUCUUCUGAUUUGCUGCAUUUGUUCCUCUGUUUUUUUUCCCCCUAUAUAUCCGAUUUGCACGCUUUGCAUGUCUUUGUCAGUGCUAAUUUUUCUGGGUUGGCAGUUAGCGGAUCAGAGAGAUAAAGAGGGCAGUGGCGGUGGCGGUGGCGUUGGCAAUCUGUGGUGGUGGUGAUUUCGGUGGCCAGAGACAACCAAAACCAAAUCUGUGGACAGCUAAAGGGUUAGUGAAAGAGUGGUCUCAUUACCCUACCCACAGUCAAAGGGUAUAGUAUGUAAGAAAGCGUCAAUUCGUUAAUGGGGCUCUUCUAAAAAACCGUUGGGAUGCGAAAGAUGUAAUACUCGUUGAACAUUCCCUAUGAAUUGAGGAGAUGUUGCUUUUCAACUCAAACUUCGAUGGUACCCAAAGCAACCAUGUAUAUUGUGAUUUUAAGAGUUGGGUUUUGUUCUUAAAUGGGCAGUUGCCACUUGCUAGAGUUCAUGGUAUGUAAUAGGUACAUAUGGAUGUGCUAAUUUGUUUGUGGAUACAUCACUUCAUAUUUAAACUCCCCCCUGCUCUUCGUCUCUUAAUGCAUGUAUGUGAGCUGCCAUGCAAAGCCUAGCUUGAAGUUGAAUCCGCCCGAAUAGCACCUGCCCAACAAGGACAUAGCAAUCGAACCAUUGCAAAUGAAGAAAAAUGGCAUCAUUAGGUGUUCGUGGGUAUUUGUUGCAGAUGUUUGGGUUUUGAGUAGGUCAAGAGCCCCAAGUUUGAAUUUAAUGUCAUUUGGCCGAACCUCCAUCAUUCUUUCUUCACCUCUUCGAGAGAGAUCUGGAGACGAAGCUUUCAAAAGGGCCAUGGAUAGCUACAGCAGCCAUUGCAGACCCUAAAAAUCUCCCUUGAGUUCAUCACAUCUUCUUCUUUGUAUCCAAUUUUGAAUCAUUUGUUUAGACUCUUGAGGAAGAAGGAUCUUAACUGAUACAAUUACGUUGAUGGAAUAAACUCUACCAAGAGCUUUUGCUUUGUCUGACUAGAAUAAACUCUACAUUUUGCUAUGUCUAAUCUUUUGGCAAUUGUAUAAAAAACCCUAUAGCCAAAGUCAUGCAAGUAGCUGAAUAACUUGAAACCUUUUUUUCAAUGCAAAAACUUGUCUAGGCCAUAAU